AACGCACAUUGCGCCCGCCAGUAGCCUGGCGGGCAUGCCCGUUCGAGCGUCAUUUCCACCCCUCAGGCCCCGCCUGGUGUUGGGGGUCUGCCGACACGGCAGCUCCCGAAAGACAGCGGCGGCACGGCCCGCGCGCCCUGGCGAAGUUACAAACGCCGCCUGGGACGCGUAGGAAGCGCCUGCCGGAAAACCACCAAAUUUACAGGUUGACCUCGGAUCGGGUAGGAAUACCCGCUGAACUUAA
rnacentral:misc_RNA from 1 species